GCAGCAGCAGCAGCAACUGGAUUUGCUUUUUCACCAGAGGAUCCAGAUUUCCCUGUGGCCUUGCAAACAAAAAAGAAGGAAGACGGAGCAGCACAGUCAUCCCUUUGUGAAAAAAGCAUUCAGAGACGGGGUUUCACCGUGUUAGCCAGGAUGGUCUCGAUCUCCUGACCUCGCGAUCCGCCCGCCUCGGCCUCCCAAAGUGCUGGGAUUACAGGCGUGAGCCACCGCGCCCGGCCUCAGCUGGUUUUUCAAAAGUCAUGGCGUGUAAUUGUCAGAACAGUGAACUUCGGAGAUCCACCGGAGGGGCGAGGCCACAGCUCGACCGCGAGCACCUGAGCAUCCUGCACCGCCUGCGACGGCCGUCAGGGGGCGCGAUGCCGCCUCACAGAACCUCAAGCGGCGCCCGGGUUCCGGCACAGACGGCCUGCGGCUCCAGGGGGCGGAGCCGAGCCGUCUCCUCAGGACCUACGCAAGAGGCGCCGUCAUCCCUACAGGGACACCUGAGAGGGCCCAGCCUCCUCCUCCUCAGGACCCACUCGGGAGACGCCGCUGGCUCUCUAGGAACACCUGGGGACCGUGGCCAGGGACGACCCAGCCUCCUUCUCCUCAGCUCCUCAGGAACGACUGGGGAAGCUGUGGCUUCAUGGUCCCCGAGGCUGCCCGAGGAAAGGUAUUUCAGGACAGCCAGGAGGGGGCGCACAUCCGCCGAGAAACUGUGAGCAAGAGCGUCUGUGCUGAACCAUGGCGCCACCAGAGGGCGCGCGAUCCCGCCCCAACCAACUUCCCGCUGAAGUGCCAGAAGCAGCGAGGAGCUUCAACUUCCUCAGGGCAGCACGGGGGUCGUGUUAAUUUGGUGUUCUUCAUUGAUUCCCCAACAGUUAUUGCUGUACCAGAUUUGCAGUGUCCCACAAAAUACUCCGGUAUAUUGUACUGAAAGCAUGGACACUCUCCCAGGUAACUACCACAUAACCCCUAGAUCAGGAAAUCAGCGUUGUUCCUACAUGAUAAUUCGGUCCACAAACUCACUUCAGUUUUACCUCAUGCCACACUUGGGAGUAUAAUGUGUUUUUUUUUUUUUUUUUUAUUAGGAUCCAGUUUUCUUUUCCUGGAACUGUUCCCCAGACUUUCCUGCAUAUUUAUGAC
ensembl:lncRNA FAM157D family with sequence similarity 157 member D